rnacentral:rRNA from 1 species
ACCUCGGAUCAGGUAGGGAUACCCGCUGAACUUAAGCAUAUCAAUAAGCGGAGGAAAAGAAACCAACAGGGAUUACCUCAGUAACGGCGAGUGAAGCGGUAACAGCUCAAAUUUGAAAUCUGGCUCUUUCAGGGUCCGAGUUGUAAUUUGUAGAAGAUGCUUUGGGUGUGGCCCUGGUCUAAGUUCCUUGGAACAGGACGUCAUAGAGGGUGAGAAUCCCGUAUGUGACUAGGUGCUUUCGCCCGUGUAAAGCUCUUUCGACGAGUCGAGUUGUUUGGGAAUGCAGCUCAAAAUGGGUGGUAAAUUUCAUCUAAAGCUAAAUAUUGGCCAGAGACCGAUAGCGCACAAGUAGAGUGAUCGAAAGAUGAAAAGCACUUUGGAAAGAGAGUUAAACAGUACGUGAAAUUGUUGAAAGGGAAGCGCUUGCAACCAGACUUAGUUGCGGCCGAUCAUCUAGGGUUCUCCCUGGUGCACUCGGUCGUAUCUAGGCCAGCAUCGGUUUGGGUGGUGGGAUAAAGGCCUUGGGAAUGUAGCUUCUUUCGGGGAGUGUUAUAGCCCUCGGUGCAAUGCCGCCUACCUGGA